UCAGCCGGCCAUAGCGGCGGGGUCCCACCCGGUCCCAUCCGAACCCGGAAGUUAAACCCGCCGUCGCCGAUGCGUUAGUGAGGUGCGCAAGCCCUCGUGAAACAUCGGUGCCGGCGCUC
rnacentral:rRNA from 1 species